rnacentral:other from 1 species
CGGGUACUGCGCGAUGCGUUAGGAAGCGUACGCCCCUGGGCCAAUGACUUCCACUCGGGAGCUGUCUCUGUCGGGGGUAUCGCCCUCGGCACGCGGCGCCCACCUGCAAGAGCAGGCCACAGUGGAGCGACAUAUUUCCGACGGUCGAGGCGGUCCCGCC